UAGAACAAUGACUUGAAUGUUUGAUCACUUAAUUACUGAAAUGGGUACCAUGGGGUUUGGGGUUACUGAAAUUGGAUUGUUAUCGAGGAAGAACCCAGAACUCGCAGGCAUUCUCUAGCACCUCGCUAAGCGAACCUGUAGCGAAGCUUCGCUAAGCCUUCGUUAAGCGAAGCAGUAGCGAUCGCGACAGUAUCUGCUUUUUUCUGUUUGCUCUCCAAUCUGUUU
rnacentral:lncRNA from 1 species